rnacentral:rRNA from 1 species
GACGAACGCUGGCGGCGUGCCUAACACAUGCAAGUCGAGCGGAGAAUGCAGAAAUGUUUACAUGGAAGCGUUCUUAGCGGCGGACGGGUGAGUAACACGUGGGUAACCUGCCUCAAAGUGGGGGAUAGCCUUCCGAAAGGAAGAUUAAUACCGCAUAAGCCUACAGUGCCGCAUGGCACAGUAGGAAAAGGAGCAAUCCGCUUUGAGAUGGACCCGCGGCGCAUUAGCUAGUUGGUGAGGUAACGGCUCACCAAGGCGACGAUGCGUAGCCGACCUGAGAGGGUGAUCGGCCACAUUGGAACCGAGACACGGUCCAGACUCCUACGGGAGGCAGCAGUGGGGAAUAUUGCACAAUGGGCGAAAGCCUGAUGCAGCAACGCCGCGUGAGUGAUGAAGGCCUUCGGGUCGUAAAGCUCUUUGAUCAGGGAUGAUAAUGACAGUACCUGAAAAACAAGCCACGGCUAACUACGUGCCAGCAGCCGCGGUAAUACGUAGGUGGCGAGCGUUGUCCGGAAUUACUGGGCGUAAAGGAUGCGUAGGUGGAUACUUAAGUGGGAUGUGAAAUCCCCGGGCUCAACCCGGGAACUGCAUUCCAAACUGGGUAUCUAGAGUGCAGGAGAGGAAAGCGGAAUUCCUAGUGUAGCGGUGAAAUGCGUAGAUAUUAGGAGGAACACCAGUGGCGAAGGCGACUCUCUGGCCUGUAACUGACGCUGAGGUGCGAAAGCUAGGGGAGCGAACG